rfam:Nicotiana attenuata strain TT chromosome 11, whole genome shotgun sequence.
UUCCUCACCAUAUAAUAAUGAAUAAAUGAGAUAAAUUGCACGACAUCACCCUUCGUGGGUAGUUUAUCUGGGGCGGAUGCCUCCUAAAGAGUAACGGAGGUGCCCGAAAGUUGGUUCAAGCUAAGAUUCUACUCGUGAGCGUAAUGGUAGAAGCCUGCCUGACUGUGAGACCGGCUGGUCGAACAUAGACGGAAGUCGGCCAUAGUUUUUACUCUCUUCCUCACUAUGUAUUAAUCAAUAAAUGAGA